rnacentral:rRNA from 1 species
CGUUCCCGGGCCUUGUACACACCGCCCGUCACGCCAUGGAAGUCGGGAGUGCCCGAAGUCCGUGCCCCAACCUUUCGGGGAGGGAGCGGCCGAAGGCAAGCUCGGUAACUGGGGCG